CAGCAGCCGCGGUAAUACGGAGGGUGCAAGCGUUAAUCGGAAUUACUGGGCGUAAAGCGCACGCAGGCGGUCUGACAAGUCAGAUGUGAAAUCCCCGGGCUUAACCUGGGAACUGCAUUUGAAACUGUCAGGCUGGAGUCUUGUAGAGGGGGGUAGAAUUCCAGGUGUAGCGGUGAAAUGCGUAGAGAUCUGGAGGAAUACCGGUGGCGAAGGCGGCCCCCUGGACAAAGACUGACGCUCAGGUGCGAAAGCGUGGGGAGCAAACAGGAUUAGAUACCCCCGUAGUCACUGUCUCUUAUAC
rnacentral:rRNA from 1 species